rnacentral:rRNA from 1 species
UACGUAGGGGGCGAGCGUUAUCCAGAUUUACUGGGCGUAAAGCGCGUGUAGGCGGCUGGUUAGGUGUGAUGUGAAAUCCUCGGGCUCAACCCGAGAACUGCAUUGCAAACCGGCCUGGCUAGAGUGCAGGAGAGGGAAGCGGAAUUCCAGGUGUAGCGGUGAAAUGCGUAGAUAUCAAGUGGAACACCAGUGGCGAAGGCGAAUCCCUGGAAAAUACCUGACACUGAGGCACGAAAGCUAGGGGAGCAAACAGG